UACAGUGGCGACCGGGUGAGUAACACGUGACUACCUACCCUUGAGUGGGGGAUAACCUCGGGAAACCGAGGCUAAUACCGCAUAAUAUCGAGAGAUCAAAGGAGAAAUCCGCUUUUGGAGGGGGUCGCGGCUGAUUAGCUAGUUGGUGAGGUAAUGGCCCACCAAGGCGAAGAUCAGUAUCCGGCCUGAGAGGGCGCACGGACACACUGGAACUGAAACACGGUCCAG
rnacentral:rRNA from 1 species